ACUCCUACGGGAGGCAGCAGUGGGGAAUUUUGGACAAUGGGCGCAAGCCUGAUCCAGCCAUUCCGCGUGAGUGAAGAAGGCCUUCGGGUUGUAAAGCUCUUUCGCAAGGGAAGAAAACUUACAUUCUAAUAAAGUGUGAGGCUGACGGUACCUUGAUAAGAAGCACCGGCUAACUACGUGCCAGCAGCCGCGGUAAUACGUAGGGUGCGAGCGUUAAUCGGAAUUACUGGGCGUAAAGCGUGCGCAGGCGGUUUGGCAAGUCAGAUGUGAAAUCCCCGAGCUCAACUUGGGAACUGCGUUUGAAACUGCCAGACUAGAAUAUGUCAGAGGGGGGUAGAAUUCCACGUGUAGCAGUGAAAUGCGUAGAGAUGUGGAGGAAUACCAAUGGCGAAGGCAGCCCCCUGGGAUAAUAUUGACGCUCAUGCACGAAAGCGUGGGGAGCAAACAGGAUUAGAUACCCUGGUAGUCCACGCCCUAAACGAUGUCUACUAGUUGUUGGUGGAGUAAAAUCCAUGAGUAACGCAGCUAACGCGUGAAGUAGACCGCCUGGGGAGUACGGUCGCAAGAUUAAAACUUAAAGGAAUUGACGG
rnacentral:rRNA from 1 species